rnacentral:lncRNA from 1 species
AAAAUAUUACACAUGAGAUUUUACUUCAAUUCUUCACAGAAAAGUAAGACGGGUGCAUUGAUAUUUGGUUCAAAAAGGACUUUACAAAGAAAGAAAUAGACACACUAUUGGCUGUGUACAGACUACAGAGCACCUGGAGUUGUUCUACUGCUGUUAUGUUCCUCUUUAGUCCUUUACUGAUUCAGCUCUCCCCUCUCCUAUGUACAACCCCUAUCAUUUGUU